ensembl:lincRNA
AGCACCCAGAGAGUGGCGUAUAAAUCGCCCCCCCGGGGGCCCCGGCCCCAGGUUCCCCCCCCCCCUGCCCGCCACUCCAUCCCGCCGGCCGUGGCCCCAUGUCUGGACCUGGGGUAAGCAGCAAAGGACUCAGGACGGGGAAAGCAUCUCACCACCCUCCCCCCCCCCCCACCCCCCCCCCCCCCCCCGCCUCAAAACCCUCCGGAGUGUCUGCUUGAGCCCAGUAAGGGGGAAAGAUAAUUUGUCUUCUUAGCUUGGAGUUUUUAAGAUCAAAAGAAACACUUCUGAUGAAAUCCUGUCCAAAGACCCUUAUCCGUGGAUCUAGUUUAAUUUAGGAGAUCCUGGAAUUUGAGCUUAAACCCUGGUGUUGUAAUGCGAUUAACCCUCCAGGCACCUUGGGUGGGAAGGAGAAGUGGAACCAGUUAAUGGCCAGAGAGAACGCGGAGGCCCUUUCAAGACGGACGUAAAGGCAUCACUCCCCCUGCCGUAGGGAGCGGGGCCUCUGUCUCCACUCCUUAAAGCGGACCUGGCUUGUGACUGCCUCAUGUGACGGUUUGGCAGACAUGGUCGUGGUUUCCAGACGCAGACCUCGGAGGCAAUGCGGGCCUCCAGUCUCCCUGUUUUGGAGCCCUGGUCACUCGGUGGACAGUCCGGCUCCCCCACUGGAGGCCACGGGACAAGCAGGAUGGUCACCAAGUUGCUGGGGCAACCAAGGCUCGUGGGGCUCGUCUCAGCGGUGCGGAAGAGAUCGGAAGAGCGGUUCAGCAGGAAUGCCGACAGCAUCCCUGGGCAACAAGGAGCGCCGAGGACCUCUAGGAUUGGGGGCUGAUCGUCCUCGGGGCCGCGCACCCGGCUCCCUUGGAAUUUAGCAGGCCCGUGGGGGCAUCUGACCAAAAUCGAGGCGCUGCCUUGUCCGUGGGGAAGCGCUUGGUUUCCGGCAGUUCCUGCCCGCGGGCGUAUUUAGAACCGGUGGUCCCUCGAGGAAGUGGGCUCAGGAAGCCGAGUCUAUGCAGGCACGUUUAGCUUGGUGGUGCCUGAAAUUCUGACACUAGGUCUGUCCCGCUCUCAGAGAGAGAUCCGGGGACUCAGCUCAAGCCUGGGCCUUUUCGGAAAGCACGCGGGAGAGUUAUUGCUGCCUUAACUAGGGGACAAAGAUGGCCCAGAAAGCACCGGGUUCCGGCAGACGGAUCUUGACAGAGGCACAGGGUGGCAGCUGUGUGUCGGGGUGUGCCCGCGAGGGGAGAUGGUCUGGGUAACCUGGCCUCCAGGGAUCUUAGCAGGGGCUGUGUGGGCGGCCCGCAAGGCCGGGAGACUCCUCCCGCAGCCCCAAGCUUCCCCAAACUGGGGGACAGGCGGCCCCUCACGCGGCCAGUCUGGCCUGGGCCAGCGCCGAGGCCCGGGGUCAGAGGCCUAGCAAAGCGCCCCGGGCAAGUGGGGUUUCAGGGCCGGGGAAAGAAGACGGCCGGCGAGACACGGGAGGGCGGGACUUCGAGUGUCUGUCCGCGCUCAGGCUGGAAAGGAAAACAGGAGAACUAGCGGCGAGGGGCAAGACAGCCCCCUGAAACCCCUCCCCCCGAGCCGCGCGGCCGGCUGCGCCCACCGCGCGCCGAGGGUGUGCAGCUCUGCUCUAAAGAUGAAUGGCGCAUGUUCAGGGCGCGUUUCCCGGGAGCCGCGGCCGAGUCUCUGGGGAGGCAAUGGGCGCGGCCUGCA